GCUGUUUAAGUUUCAGUGCUGAGUCCUCUUGCAGCUGCUGCAAAACUGGGCAAUCAUCGUUGAUAUUUGGAUUUGCUAAUGCAGAGAAGUGAACGUCAGAUAUGUACUCGAUCAAAAUCCUAGAGACCACAUAUGCAGCUCUGCAUGUCGACGUUUUGCUGAAAUUAAGAUUUCACAGAGAUAACUCAAGCAAGGUUGCUGUUCAUGGCACGUCACAUCACAUCGACGGCUGGUUAUCUCAUCUUAUGAAGCUUCUUUUGCAGAUUGCUCCUGCCGCAAAAGUUAUCUAACCAAAGGCAGGAGCCAUUGCUACGGAUUCUGCUUGGUCCAGGCCCUGCAGAAGCAGCAGGACCUACGGCAGGAUCCAAUAAUCUUCCGGCAGCUGCAUCGGAGCACCGGCGCCACCAAGAAAAAAGAUGGGGAGUGAAGCAAAUGGUCCGUUUUUAUUUUUAUUUUCUGGGAAGAGAUUCAAGUGAAAAUUAGAGAAGUAAGAGAAAUUCAAGUAACUAGUUUUGUACCAUAUACAUAUAUGGCAAGUAAACUCUUCCUUGUAUUGAAGAGGCUUGUUAAAUGAACUUGUUCUUGA